rnacentral:rRNA from 1 species
AAUCAACGCUGGCGGCGUGCCUCAGACAUGCAAGUCGAACGAUUAAAGCUCUCUUCGGAGAGUGUAUAGAGUGGCGCACGGGUGAGUAACACGUAAGUAAUCUACCCUCGAGUGGGGAAUAACGUCCGGAAACGGACGCUAAUACCGCAUAAUGCAGCGGCACCGCAAGGUGACAGUUGUUAAAGAUUUAUCGCUUGAGGAGGAGCUUGCGGCAGAUUAGCUAGUUGGUAAGGUAAUGGCUUACCAAGGCUACGAUCUGUAACCGGUCUAAGAGGACGGUCGGUCACACUGACACUGAAUAACGGGUCAGACUCCUACGGGAGGCAGCAGUCGGGAAUUUUGGGUCAAUGGGCGAAAGCCUGACCCAGCAACGCCGCGUGAAGGAUGAAGUAUUUCGGUAUGUAAAC